GCACACCACACACUCAAGCCUUCACUAGCACAAAAUGAAAACUCUCUCAAUUUCACCGUCGCCAAAUCUUCAUAUUCGCGGCAACAAAAUGACUCUCCCGCCGGUCGCUAAACACUCUCGAUCCCUCGCAUUUCUCAACCGGACCACCGGUUCUCCUUUUCGCUUCGAUAACGUUAUUGUUAAUGCAGUGAGAUAUGACGGACCGGUAAUUGAUAUUAAGGAAUUAGAAGGUCAUGGUGAUAAUAUGGAGUGUGAGUUAGUUAUUCAGACUUGCAUUACACGUACCUUGACUCCAGCGUUGACUUUAGAGCACGGUUUGAAGAGUGUUAAAGAAGCUGUAGAGGAAUUGAAAUUGAAUCCUCCUGCUUCGAGCACUGGCAUUUUCAGAUUUCAGGUUGCGGUACCUCCCGGUCCGAAAGCUCUGACUUGGUUUUGCUGUCAACCACAGCCUUCUGGAGUGUUUCCUAUAUUUUUUCUUUCUAAGGAGACAGAGAAUCCAUCGAUUAAAUCUCUAUAUAUGAAUAGAACUCGUGGUGUUUUCGGAAUUGGAGCUGCAAUUUACUUUGUGGAUUCUUCUUCUCGUGAUUCUGGAGAGCAGAGAUUGAUACGGAGAUAUGUCUUAAGUGAUUCCGUUGGCAUAGGAACUUAUGGUUUUAAGGAUGCUAAAUUUGACCCUGCAUCUACUAUGAAGCAUGAGGCUGGUUCCUUUUAUCUUGUAAUUCCUGAGAUUGAAUUAGAUGAGCAUGAGGAUGUCUCCAUUUUAUCAGCAACAUUGGCAUGGGAUGAUGCGUCCUUUUGUACAUUUAAACAAGCAAUUCAAUCGUUUGAAUCCUCUAUUUACCAGGCUAGUGCUCAUUUUUGGUCAGCUACAAGGCGAACCCUUUCUUACUGCAUCAGAGCUGCUCUCAGCAAUGUCAAUCUGGUGAAGGAGGAUACUUUCCGAAUGGUUUCUUCGCAUUCACUGUUUUUGGACAGAAGGGGUUACCAGGAUGACCUCUUGGAACUGAGGGAGUUCUGUCAGUUUUAUUUCAGACUUUCACCAACCAUUGGUAUUUCCAACAACAUGCUAGGUCAUGCCAGUGAAACUAGUCACUCCUGGAAUGAUUAUGCAAACAUCAAUGCACUUUGGGCAUCACUUAUAGUGGAAGAAUGCUCUCGCCUUGGGUUAACGUAUUUUUGCAUUGCUCCAGGAUCGAGAUCAUCCCCCCUUGCAGUUGCUGCUGCACUUCAUCCCCUCACGACAUGCGUUGCAUGCUUUGAUGAACGCUCACUUGCAUUUCACGCUGUUGGUUAUGCAAGAGGUUCUCAUGUACCAGCAGUUGUCAUAACUUCUUCAGGAACAGCAGUCUCAAAUCUACUUCCUGCUGUUGUGGAAGCCAGUCAAGAUUUUUUACCACUUCUCUUAUUGACUGCUGAUCGUCCUCCCGAGCUUCAAAAUGCUGGGGCAAAUCAAUCAAUCAACCAGGUGAACCACUUUGGCUCUUUUGUGAGGUUCUUCUUCAACCUUCCUGUUCCCACAGAUAAUAUUCCUGCUAGGAUGGUGCUUACUACUCUUGACUCAGCGGUACAUUGGGCAACCUCUUCACCAUAUGGGCCAGUUCAUAUCAACUGCUCUUUUAGAGAGCCAUUGGAUGACAGUCCAAACAAAUGGAUGUUGAGCUGUCUGAAGGGAUUAGAUAAUUGGAUGUCAAGUGCUGAUCCAUUCACUAAGUAUAUUGAAAUGCCAAAUUCACUUGCAUGUAGUGAUAGUCGCAUCCCAGUGACACAAAUUCUUGAAAUAAUUGAAGGGGCUAAGAAGGGGCUUCUGCUUGUUGCUGCAAUUCAUACAGAAGAUGAGAUAUGGGAAUGUCUUAUCCUGGCAAAACAUCUUAACUGGCCAGUUGUAGCAGACAUAUUAUCAGGUUUACGAUUAAGAAAGCUAUUGUCUUGUUUUCCCGGAGUUGAGGAGAAUAUUUUAUUUGUUGAUCACCUUGACCAUGCUCUGCUCUCGAAUCAUGUCAGGGCUUGGAUGGAGUUGGACGUAGUUAUUCAGAUUGGAAGUCGGAUAACAAGCAAGCGUAUUUCUCAAAUGCUGGAGGUGUGUUUUCCAUUGUCAUACAUCUUAGUUGAUGAUCAUCCAUUCCGUCAUGAUCCAUCACACUCUGUCACUCAUAGGGUGCAGUGCUCCAUCCUGCAAUUUGUUGACUGUUUGAAGAAAGCUCAAUUUAUUCGUAGGGGCAGCAAAUGGUCUGAUUAUUUAACAGCAUUGGACAGGAUGGUUGCAUGGAACAUAUCAUUUCAAAUUUAUGCAGAGAACUCUUUGACUGAGCCACAUGUUGCGCGUGUAAUUUCAGAAGCACUUUCAUCUGAGUCAGCUCUUUUUAUUGGCAACAGCAUGGCAAUACGUGAUGCAGACAUGUAUGGCUGUAGUUAUGACAAGCACAGUGAUAGCAUUGCAGGUACGAUGCUGAACUCAGAGCUCCAGUGUCUUGGGGUUCGUGUGUCUGGAAACAGGGGUGCAAGUGGUAUUGAUGGCUUGCUUAGUACAGCAAUUGGUUUUGCUGUUGGAUGCAAUAGAAGAGUAUUUUGUCUGAUUGGGGAUGUUUCUUUCCUUCACGAUACAAAUGGCUUGUCAAUAUUAAAACCAAGGUUGCCAAGGAAGCCAAUGACGAUACUCGUGAUAAACAAUCAUGGAGGAGCAAUCUUUAGUCUUCUUCCUAUUGCAGAUAGAACAGAGCAAAGAAUACUCAACCAAUAUUUCUACACUACCCAUGACAUUUCAAUUAAGCAACUGUGCAUGGCACACAGUGUGAGGCAUUUACAAGUCAAGACUAAAAUGGAACUUCGAGAUGCUCUAGUUACAACUCAGCAAGAGGAGACAGAUUGUGUCAUUGAAGUGGAUAGCAGCAUCAGCGCCAAUUCAACCUUCCACAGUACGUUAAAAAAUUCUGCACGCCAAGCAGCUGAUCAUGCCUUAGCCGUUCUUUCAAGCCUUGCUGUUCCACAUUCCACUUCGGAUGGCUUCUUCUUAUGUAAAAUCCUCAGAAUGGAAUAUUCAUUGUACAGAAUUCAACUAUGUGCUCCUACUACAUCAGCUCCUGUUAAUCAUGACAGUGAGGACUUCCAUAAAGAAGGCUUUAUUCUGUCAUUGUCUCUUGAAGAUGGAAGUGUUGGCUACGGCGAGGUUGCACCUAUUGAAAUUCACAAGGAAAACAUGCUGGAUGUAGAAGAACAACUUAGAUAUCUCCUUCAUGUGAUUAGAGGAACAAAGCUGAGUAUUCAUCUACCUCUGCUGAAGGGAUCACUUUCCACCUGGAUAUGGAAAAACUUUGGAAUCCCGGAAAAUUCAAUCUUUCCUAGUGUCAGAUUGGGUCUAGAAAUGGCUAUCAUCAAUGCUGUCGCAGAAAUGCAUGGUUCCAGCCUACUACAUAUAAUCCAACCAUGGAGAGAAAAUGAAGAAGCUUAUGAAAAGUCAACCGUCAAAAUAUGUGGCCUUAUUGAUUCUAAUGGGACUCCCACUGAGGUUGCUCGUAUUGCUUCAUCUCUUGUGGAAGAAGGAUUUUCUGCAUUAAAGCUGAAAGUUGCACGUCGGGUAAAUCCCUUUCAAGAUGCGGCAGUUAUACAAGAAAUAAGGAAGAGAGUUGGUAGACAUAUAGAACUCCGUGUGGAUGCCAAUAGAAAGUGGUCUUAUGAAGAAGCUAUUCAAUUUAGUUCUCUGGUGAAAGAUUGUGACUUGCAAUACAUUGAGGAACCCGUGGAGGAUGAAGAUGAUAUUAUAAAGUAUUGUGAAGAGAGUGGCUUACCUGUGGCACUUGAUGAAACUAUUGACAAGCAUUGUGAAAAUCCUCUUCGUAUGCUUGUGAAGUAUGCUCACCCUGGAAUAGUCGCUGUGGUUAUUAAACCAAGUGUUGUUGGUGGGUUCGAAAGAGCAGCACUAAUUGCUGAAUGGGCACAUCAACUGGGGAAGAUGGCUGUUAUCAGUGCUGCAUUUGAAAGUGGCCUGGGUCUGUCCGCUUACAUUCAGUUCUCCUCUUACCUAGAGGUGCAAAAUUCAGAUCUUUGCAGAGUUAUGAACCGAAAAUUGGGUCCACCUGUAGCCCAUGGUCUUGGAACUUAUCGUUGGCUUAAACAAGAUGUAACAUCUAGAUCUCUAGGGAUUCAACAUCUUCCAAGCAGUGGAUUUGUAGGAGCAUAUGUAGGUGAUGCCAUUAAAUUCUUGAAGAGGUUUCAAAUAAACCAAAAUGUUAUUCACGGAACCUUUAUAGGGGAGCAAGUUUCUACAUACCAUUUGGUUGUGAAUUCAAAGGAUUUGUCUGCCUCCAUUAAAGUGCAAGAGGUUGGAUCAAAGAAAAAUGAUAAUAUUGUUUUGUUUCUUCAUGGCUUUCUUGGAACUGGUGAAGACUGGAUCCCAAUCAUGAAGGCCCUCUCAAUAUCUGCAAGGUGUAUCGCAGUUGAUCUUCCUGGUCAUGGAGGAUCAAAGAUACAACGCAUUGGUGGUAAACAAUCUGAACAGCAAGCAGCAUUGUCCAUUGAAAUAGUUACAGAUUUAUUAAACAAGUUGAUUCAACAUCUAAGUCCUGGAAAGGUUUCCAUUGUUGGAUAUUCCAUGGGAGCAAGAAUUGCGCUGCACAUGGCAAUGAGACAUGGCGAUAAGCUCAAUAGAGCUGCUAUAAUAUCUGGUAGCCCAGGAUUAAAAGAUAAGAUUGCAAGGAAAAUCCGUCUGGCUAAAGAUGUUUCUCAGUCACGCUUACUCAUUGAUCAUGGACUACAAUGCUUUCUUGAUUCCUGGUACUCUGGAGAACUCUGGAACAGCUUGAGGAGCCAUCCCCAUUUUAAGGAUAUGGUUUCCAGACGCAUGUUGCAUAAUGAUGGUUAUUGGCUAGCAGAAGCUCUAUCUGGCUUGAGCAUUGGUCGACAGAUAUCAUUGUGGGAAGACUUGAAGCAAUGCGAUAUACCACUUCUGCUUGUUGUUGGAGAGAAAGAUGGAAAGUUCAAAUCAAUUGCCCAAAAAAUGUGCGAUGAAAUUGGCCAGUCCGGAAAUGGCGUAGAUGGCGCGGGAAACAAUAUUCCUCAGAUAGUUGAGAUUCCCAACAGUGGACAUGCUGUCCACUUGGAGAACCCUCUACCUGUUAUCAGGUCAUUGAGACAAUUUCUGAUCGGGAUAUGAAAUUGUUCCACUCAAAGAGCACAGUGAAAAGAUGCUUUAAUCCGAAAGCUGGUAACAGGUGAUGACUGAUGCAGUUCAUGGUAUCUGCUGUUUGGUCCGUCAGAAAAUAUUGAUUCAAGACGCCUAGAAUGCAAAUUGGGCAAAUGGAAGACACAAAUUCAUAAAAAUACAUGUUAGCGCCAUAUGCCAAUAAUAUUUACGAAUGAAUAUUUUUUACUAA